UAGGGGGNGAAAANGGAGGNAGCAGUGGGGAAUAUNCCCCNAUGGGCGGGGGAAAAANCCAGCAAUGCCGCGUGUGUGAAGAAGGCCUUCGGGUUGUAAAGCACUUUUGUUAGGGAGGAAAGUCUCGCAGCUAAAGACUGCGAGAUAUGACGUUACCNAAAGAAUCAGCACCGGCUAACUCUGUGCCAGCAGCCGCGGNAAUACAGAGGGNGCAAGCGUUAAUCGGAAUNGCUGGGCGNA
rnacentral:rRNA from 1 species